UAACUAGCCCGUAUUGCUUUGGCAGUACGCUGGCUUCUUAGAGGGACUAUCGGCUCAAGCCGCUGUAAGUAUACGCCAAAACCAGUCCUGUGAAGCCCUUAGAUGUUCUGGUCCGCACGCGCGCUACACUGACGGAGCCAGCGAGUACUCCCUUGGCCGAAAGGCCUG
rnacentral:rRNA from 1 species